GGGCUUCGCCGCACGCAGGGGCCCCCGGGCUGCCCUCGUUCGCUCCCGCCUGGUACCGGCUUUGGAUAAAUCAGCGAAGGCUAGACAGUCAUCAAUUCCCAGUGCUCUCCUCCGGAGCUGGGCACGGAUGAGGAGAAAGCAGGGAGGAGAAUAAAGCCCAGAGUGAGAGCACAGGGACCUGCAGUACUACUCUGUCUUUUGCUCUGGUGACUGACGGUGUGGCCAAAUGAUGUUGAGCCAAAAUCUGAUCCGUACAGAAGGAUCACAGGACCAACCCUGCAGUGCCAGAGCUGAAGGUGAGCAGUGACAUGGGGCAGGCAGCGAGCCCUGAGCAUGGGUGUGUUCAAGACUGAGGUGACAGUAAAGGAUCUCUCUUGCUGCCACAGAAGCUGCAGACAUUGGCUACAUGGGGGAUGUCCCACCCCAGGCUUGGAGCACACGUAUUUUGAAGCACUACAGCUCCAUGCCAGUGCAGAUCUCUUGAGUGGAUGCACUGUGCCAGCAGACCGUGCUCAUGUCCUGGUUUAACCCAUCCUGCUAAUUUAUGGGAGCAAAAUCACUCAGAU